AUUGAACGCUGGCGGCAUGCCUAACACAUGCAAGUCGGGCGGGUGAAGGUGUCUUGCGCCUGGAUUCAGCGGCGGACGGGUAAGUAAUUCCUAGGAAGCUGCCUGGUAGUGGGGGAUACCGUCGGUAAACGGGCGCUAGUAGCGCAUACGUCCUGAGAGAGAAAGUGGGGGAUCUUCCGCCCUCACGCUAUCAGAUGAGCCUAGGUCGGAUUAGCUAGGUGGUGGGGUAAAGGCCUGCCAAGGCGACGAUCCGUAACUGGUCUGAGCGGAUGAGCAGUCCAAGUGGAACAGAGACACGGUCCAGACUACUACGGGAGGACGCCGUGGGGACUAUUGGAAAAUGGGAGAAAGGAUGAUCCAGCAAUGCCGGGUGUGUGGAGAAGGUAUUCGGACUGGAAAGCACUUUAAGUUGGGAGGAAGGGCAGUAAGUUCAUAACUUGCUGUUUUGACGUUACCAACAGAAUAAGCACCGGCUAACUCCGUG
rnacentral:rRNA from 1 species